UACGGAGGGUGCAAGCGUUAUCCGGAAUCAUUGGGUUUAAAGGGUCCGCAGGCGGAUUUAUAAGUCAGUGGUGAAAUCCUAUCGCUUAACGAUAGAACUGCCAUUGAUACUGUAAGUCUUGAAUUCGGUCGGAGUGGGCGGAAUGUGUAGUGUAGCGGUGAAAUGCAUAGAUAUUACACAGAACACCGAUAGCGAAGGCAGCUCACUAGGCCUGAAUUGACGCUCAGGGACGAAAGCGUGGGGAUCAAACAGGAUUAGAUACCCUGGUAGUCCACGCUGUAAACGAUGAUUACUCGUUUUCGGCGAUAUACAGUCGGAGACUAAGCGAAAGUGAUAAGUAAUCCACCUGGGGAGUACGAUCGCAAGGUUGAAACUCAAAGGAAUUGACGGGGGCCCGCACAAGCGGUGGAGCAUGUGGUUUAAUUCGAUGAUACGCGAGGAACCUUACCAGGGCUUAAAUGCAAGUUGAAUGAUGUGGAAACAUGUCAGUCUUCGGACAAUUUGCAAGGUGCUGCAUGGCUGUCGUCAGCUCGUGCCGUGAGGUGUUGGGUUAAGUCCCGCAACGAGCGCAACCCCCAUCUUUAGUUGCUAGCAGGUAAUGCUGAGGACUCUAAAGAAACUGCCUACGCAAGUAGUGAGGAAGGCGGGGACGACGUCAAGUCAUCACGGCCCUUACGUCCUGGGCCACACACGUGCUACAAUGGUUGGUACAGAGGGCAGCUACCGGGUGACCGGAUGCGAAUCUCUAAAGCCAAUCUCAGUUCGGAUUGGAGUCUGCAACUCGACUCCAUGAAGCUGGAAUCGCUAGUAAUCGCGCAUCAGCCAUGGCGCGGUGAAUACGUUCCCGGGCCU
rnacentral:rRNA from 1 species